rnacentral:tRNA from 9 species
GCGGACGUGGCGGAAUUGGUAGACGCGCUAGAUUUAGGUUCUAGUGUCCUAGACGUGAGAGUUCGAGUCUCUCCGUCCGCA